CCCCUGAAGGGGCGCGUUUGCGGGCCACGCUGCCGGCGUCCACGCAGCCCGCGUCCACGCAGCGGCGCCCCCGAGCGCCGGCCGCAGGGCUGCGAAGGAGUGAGUCCUGGGCCCACAGGUGGCCGCCUGCACCCGCGGCCCCUCCACGCGUGGCCGGGCCCAGACGCAAAGGGACUGGGGUCGCACCGCCGCGCAGGCCGGGAGAAGAGCAGCGGAGCCGGGCUCUCAGCUUCCCCAUUACUGCUGGAAGGACCCGGGCCGGCCCCGGAGGUUCUCUGGGCCUCGCUUUCCUCGGCUGCAAAGUUAGAAUAAUCUCAGGCGCUACAGACAGAGAUCCAGGAGAGCCGGUUCUGGAGAAAACCCAGGCGUGAGGAGGUUAAGGAAGAUGCCUGGCAAUACUUAGCGAGCAGUAACGAUUCCGGCACAAACCUGAGCCGUUAUCACUCACUCCAGGGCGCAGACUCUUAAGUCCAUGUACUGUAGCUGCCUCUCUAAAGAUGAUGUUCAAAGAACGUGUGUGAAUGUGGCCAGUGUUGUCUUAGUGUGUCGGUGAACCACUAUAUCUCUAAACUAAAACAGACUUCAAUAUAUUCCGCGUUGGAUAUUUAGAACUUGUAGUGCUUUUUUACUGAGCAUAAUAUCCAUGCAUUA